UGGCUAAUUCUUCUUUUUGUUUCCAUUCCUUGUCUCCAAUCUUGAUUCCUAUUCUCCACCCCCACCUCGGCUUCAAGGUAUUUCUACUGGAGUUUGCGAUAGCUUGAAACCCCUAAUCUUUUAGGAUUCUUUCUUCAUAAAAAUGUUAAUUUUGUUUAUUUGGUAGGGCUUGAAAUAGUUUAAUCAGAUCCUUAAUGAACUCAUAGAUGUCCAAGAUUUGUUUAUUUUGGGAAAGUUAUUUUUUGAUUACCAAGGUAGUGGAUAGCAAUCUAAACAUGAAUCAUUGAUGUUUAAUUUCUAUUUUUGAUUAGCUAUGGGAGUUAACUUUUGGAUGUAUGCAUCCAACUUACAAAGGAAAUAUUAUAGAUUUCAACAUAUUACAAUCAUAAUUUGUUGCUUUAAUAGUGGAUGGGAGAGAUUGUCAUGAUUCAACAAACCCUAUGGCAUAGGUCCCAAGAAUUGUAUUUGAUUUCUCUAGAAUGGAAUGUGGGUGAAUUGGACCUUAAGUGCACUCUCCCAUCGGCAUUGAAAGCAAUCUACCAUGAUCAAAAUCGGUUCCUUAAAAUAAAUUAACUUGCAUCAUGAAAUUUUUUGCUCAAAAAGAAAAUAUUUGAUUUUUACAAACAUAACAGGUCCUUCUUGUUCUGAAUCAAAGAAACAGAUAUUUGUUCGUUUGGGCUAUUUUUUUAUCCUUUUUUACGAUUCAAUUGAACUAGAAAACUUUGGUUUUGCGGUUUGAUGCAACAUCUGUGUUUAUGGCUACUUAAAUUGGAAAGAAUUUAGAUCGUCUCCGGCUUGUGUUUGAACCAGACAAGUUCAAGUGAUGGAGGAUCGUCCAAUAAGAAAUCUAGGCAUAUUUUUGUUAGGCUCAAAUGUAGAAAUUAGAAAAUUUUAUUUUAUUUGGGAAUUAGGGAAUUUUAUUUUUAUGGGACCUCUAGGACUAGAAUUUUGUAGACUCUAGAAUUAGUAUUUUAUGGGAAAACUGGUAUUUUAUUUUUAUGCAGAUUCUUUCUUAUUAGGGUUUUGGAUUGUCUAUGUAAAUAUAUGUAAACUCAUUACCAUGUUAAUUGAGAAUAUGGUUUGCAUUAUUGAGGUUUGAGAAUACAAAAUAUUGAUUUGCCUCCUCCCUCUGCCUGUUUCUCUUCCUUCUCUCUUCCUUACUCCUCUUCCUCUCCCUCCUCCUGUCCUGUGUCAUCAAGUCAUCAUCACCCCCUAUUUGCAUAUCAGGUGAUUGGACAGGACUAGGAUGUAUAUGUACUUCACUCUUCAAUUUCCUUCCACUUUGUGAUACAAAAAUGGUGGGUAAUUGAACUAGAUCCUCCAUCAGUGGGAAAGGAUCUGAACUCAAACGGAUAUGAUGUUAUGCUAGACUUCUUUGAUAAUUUAUUCAAGUUGCAGUGAUAUCUGCCUCCCUGCACCAUCAUUUGGAAUCUCUAGGAAUUUGUGUCACAUACUUCUACACUAGGUUCGAUGUUGACUACAUCAUGUAAUCUUCUUGUUGCCGAGCAGAAUUUCUAACUGUUAAACCUCUUCUAGCUUUCAUAUCUGAUGAACGGUUUUUAAAGUUCAUUUUGGGUAUCUGAGCAAUAAAAUUUGUUUCUUUGGUUAUUGGCAUGUAUCAAUGAUAAAUGGUAGAGGCAACGUGUAUCAUUAUGAAGUUUAGCUAGUGGACUGUUAGUGUUUCUUUUCUCAGUAUGACACAAGUACAGAAUAAUAUAUUAUGUCCUCUGUUUAGCAGUGAAUUGUUGUGGGUGCUAUUCUAGGAUGGUGCAUCCCUAAAAAUCUGUAGAUAGGAAAUUAUAGUAUGGGUGGGUCUCCCUUCCUUUAUCUUAGAAAAUUAUGUUUUCCUUAUUUUGAUUUGGGUAAUUUAUUCUUUUGUAUGGUCAAAAAUGUUGGCACCAAUUAUAAUUAAUCUGCACUGUUGAUUGUUAUACAUGAAGAGCAAGGGCAUAUUAUUGUUGAAGCCCUUACGUUAUGGGGAAAGGUGACAUAAAGCUGCUACAUUUUAAUAGCGUCAAUAGCUUCUUCGAGACAAUAGCUCUUCAUGGUCAUCAUAACAAUUCAAUAGAUUUUUUUCUUUUUUAAAAAAGGGAGCCUUCCCUACAUUUAUUAGUGUCACUUAAUCUCACCAGUAUAUUACACUAUCAUCCUUUUGGCUUCUAUCUUCUUCUUCUUUAAAUUUCUUUUAUAGGUAUUAGAUUGUUGAAUUUGAACUAUUACUGGUUAUCAAUGACGAUUCUCUCUGUCCUAGAUAUGUUUUUUAACCACAGAAGCAUGCCAUUUUCAUUCAUCAAUACUGAUAAGCUAGUUGAGGCACCCCAAAGACUGCAAAACUAGAGUUGCUUACCACUUUAAGCUUUCUUAUGGGAAAUUGGUGGACCAAUACAUUUAGGCAGGACAUGCUUCAUGCUCAGUUAUUCUGUAUCAACUUUGUCAUUUUUUCCUCCUCUGCCCUCCUGUUACCUUAUGGAAUGAGUGAUGACUUGCGCCAAUCUCAUCCACGAAUGUUUGGUUUCUACAUGUUUGCAGAGGUUCUUGCAUUGCUUUUCUCAAUAUCUGCACUCAUAAUUCUUGUCAGCUUCCCCUGCCUCUCUUCUACUCGUGUUCCUUGUGUUGUAGCUUUGCUUUCUUUGUUGGCUCUGGGAUCAUAUCCUGUCCUUCUGUUAGCCUAUGAAUGGUUUCUCUUUGUGGCACAUCUUGGCAUGCCUCUGCUGGCUUAUGUUGUGGGCACUACUUCCUCUGUUUUGCUGCUUGUUUUAUGUUUCCAGAUCCCCAUACGUGGUUUCAUCUACUGGCUGAACCAAGAGCAUUCUGGUAUGGACCAGACAGCACUGGAGGUGUUGAUAUCUAAACCGGCAAGCACAGGCGCUGUCAUCACUGUUGCCAUGUAUUCCCUGAGCCUUGGGCUUCAGUCUAUUGCUCGUUUUGCUGGCAUUCGCAAUUCGAUGUCAGCAAAUCUCAUCAUUAUCCUCACCAUCAUAUGGCUGCAGUGUGGUGUCCCAACUUUGACCCACCCUUCUCAAUUUGAGAGCGUUGCUGCACCUACUCAGAUGUCAGAGCCAUAACCGAGUCCUCGCUUGGAUUGAUGCCUAUGAAGAACAGUUUCUAUUAGAGUUCUGUGCCAUGUAUUUCUGAUGUAGAUGUUGUGAACAUUUGUUUUCUGCUGCACUGUCGUUUCAGGAUGUUGUCUACUGUUUAAAUUUCAAUGUCGUAAGUUCAUAUGACUGUAUUGCAACUAUAUCCAUAGAAUGGUCUUAU